UACGGAGGGUGCAAGCGUUAUCCGGAUUUACUGGGUUUAAAGGGUGUGUAGGCGGACUUUUAAGUCAGGGGUGAAAUCCCGAGGCUCAACCUCGGAACUGCCUUUGAUACUGAGAAGCUUGAGUCCGGGAGAGGUGAGUGGAACUGCGAGUGUAGAGGUGAAAUUCGUAGAUAUUCGCAAGAACACCAGUGGCGAAGGCGGCUCACUGGCCCGGUACUGACGCUGAGGUGCGAAAGCGUGGGGAGCAAACAGG
rnacentral:rRNA from 1 species